UUCUAAUGUCAUUUAUCCGACCAUCAACAAUGCUACUUGUACAAUGUCCACUUACAAUGUGGACUUACAAUCUGAGCUGGAAGGGCAAAAAAGGAAAAGAGCAUUUUCAAAUAAAGUUUUUAUUUUAACUCUUACUUAUUUUAACUCGUACUUAUUUUCACUCUUACAGGAGACGAAACACACGCUAGAAAGAAAAACCCCUCUCUCAAAAUUUCCCCUUUUGUCGUGAAUGGCUAUUGUAUAUAAAUUUCUGGUGAAUCGUCAGAGGGUUUCCGGCGCCACGCUAGAAGAAAAAGCCCUCUCUCAAAUUUUCCCCAAUUGUCGUGAACGGCAGUAGCAAUUUUUUGGUUUGAAGUAUCAAUUCGACGAAAAUAUUAAGGAAAGGGGCUUGAUAGGAAGAAUGCCAGGAAAGAACUCCAGAGUAUGUCACAGCUGUAGGAGUAAAGCCCACUUUUUUGCUGAAUGCCCGAUAAAAGUCCAAUGUCCAAUGUGUAACCAAGGUUUUCAGAAGUGGUUUGAGGUAGAAUGGGCUACAGCCAACAAAGGCAAAUUCUUCAAAUGUUGCAGUCUUAAAUGUGGUUUCUGGGAGUGGUGCAAAGAAGGGGAAUCAAGCGGCAAAGCCAAGAAUGUUGGUGUUAUGUUUCCGAAGCCGAAUCCGAUAGAUUCAGUUGAUGAUAUGUCCCGCAUAUUUCAGUCGCAAGUUCGGCUAAAUGAUGAACAAGAACUCCACAUUUCUGUGAACGUGACGAUCUGAACGGGAAAUUCAAGAAUCGAGUGGAACACCAAGGGCAAGGGGCCGGCUUGAUUGGCGGUGCAUUUGUGUUUAGUUAUAUCAAAUCUUUUGUUUGUGUUAGCAGUGUUAGCUUUAGCAGAAUCAAUGUUAGGUUGUUGGUUGUCUAGUUUGAACAAUAUUAUCGUGAUGUAAUGCCUUUCGUUAUUAGUGCAAUGGAUAGAAUUGUGUGCCUAUUCAAACCUUGCAUUUUUCAUUCAAUGCGCUAAUUCUACCAUUUUCUA